rnacentral:lncRNA from 1 species
UGUAUUUUCUAUCAUAUAUGGAUACCUCACUUUGCAUAUAUAGUAGAUCUAUUGUAUGAAUUAUUAUAGAAUAGAUAUUAAUUCAUUUCUGAAAGAUAUUGAUAAAAUAUAUUAAUAGUCCAUAUAAUAGGAAAUUCAGGAGGACGGAUGAGUGAUUUAAUUCUUAAAAGCGAUUAAUUACAGAAUUACGGUUAGAAUCUAGAGAAUCAGGGAAAAGUAUAUAGGAGUUGUAAAAAUUAAUUAGGGUGCCAUCACUGUGAUAGUGUGAGCCGGGGUAAGCUUGGUGCUACCUCUUUUCUUUUGUUUGUUAUUUUCUUUGAAUAAGAGGAUUGAGAGUUUUUGAAUAUUGUAAAGUGAAUUAUAGAAUGGAAAUGUGAUUAGUAUUAAUUGAGAAGAAGAAAGAUUAAAUGCUGAAAUCUGAUUGUAAUUCAGCAGAGA